AACCUGGUUGAUCCUGCCAGUAGUCAUAUGCUUGUCUCAAAGAUUAAGCCAUGCAUGUCUAAGUAUAAACUGCUUUAUACUGUGAAACUGCGAAUGGCUCAUUAAAUCAGUUAUAGUUUAUUUGAUGGUACCUACUUACUCGGAUACCCGUAGUAAUUCUAGAGCUAAUACGUGCGUACAUCCCGACUUCUGGAAGGGACGUAUUUAUUAGAUAGAAGGCCGACCGGGCUUGCCCGACUCGCGGUGACUCAUGAUAACUUCACGAAUCGCAUGGCCUCGCGCCGGCGAUGUUUCAUUCAAAUUUCUGCCCUAUCAACUUUUGAUGGUAGGAUAGAGGCCUACCAUGGUGGUAACGGGUGACGGAGAAUUAGGGUUCGAUUCCGGAGAGGGAGCCUGAGAAACGGCUACCACAUCCAAAGAAGGCAGCAGGCGCGCAAAUUACCCAAUCCUGACACAGGGAGGUAGUGACAAUAAAAUAACAAUACCGGGGCCUUUGGUCUGGUAAUUGGAAUGAGUACAACCUAAACACCUUAACGAAGAUCAAUUGGA
rnacentral:rRNA from 1 species